rnacentral:rRNA from 1 species
UUCUGGGAAGAUUGACAGAUUGAGAGCUCUUUCUCGAUUCGGUGGAUGGUGGUGCAUGUUCGUUCUUGAUGGAGCGAUUUGUCUGGUUGAUUCCGAUAACGAACGAGACUCUAGCCUAUUAGACAGGUGCGUGGUUCUCUGCACCUUGCACCCUUCUUAGAGGGACAAGCGGCUCCUAUCCGCACGAAACAGAGCAAUAACAGGUCUGUGAUACCCUUGGAU